AAUACGGAGGGGGCUAGCCUUGUUCGGAAUUACUGGGCGUAAAGCGCACGUAGGCGGCUUUGUAAGUCAGAGGUGAAAUCCCGGGGCUCAACUCCGGAACUGCCUUUGAGACUGCAGAGCUUGAAUCCAGGAGAGGUGAGUGAAAUUCCGAGUGUAGAGGUGAAAUUCGUAGAUAUUCGGAAGAACACCAGUGGCGAAGGCGGCUCACUGGACUGGUAUUGACGCUGAGGUGCGAAAGCGUGGGGAGCAAACAGGA
rnacentral:rRNA from 1 species